CCUACGGGCGGCAGCAGUGAGGAAUAUUGGUCAAUGGACGAGAGUCUGAACCAGCCAAGUAGCGUGAAGGAUGACUGCCCUAUGGGUUGUAAACUUCUUUUAUAUGGGAAUAGAAUGUUCCACGUGUGGGAUUUUGUAUGUACCAUAUGAAUAAGGAUCGGCUAACUCCGUGCCAGCAGCCGCGGUAAUACGGAGGAUCCGAGCGUUAUCCGGAUUUAUUGGGUUUAAAGGGAGCGUAGGUGGAUUGUUAAGUCAGUUGUGAAAGUUUGCGGCUCAACCGUAAAAUUGCAGUUGAAACUGGCAGUCUUGAGUACAGUAGAGGUGGGCGGAAUUCGUGGUGUAGCGGUGAAAUGCUUAGAUAUCACGAAGAACUCCGAUUGCGAAGGCAGUUCACUGGACUGCAACUGACACUGAGGCUCGAAAGUGUGGGUAUCAAACAGGAUUAGAUACCCCAGUAGUC
rnacentral:rRNA from 1 species